AAAAAAAAAAAAAAAAGGGAAUUCCUUCAAUCAUAUUAAGAAAACAAGCACAGUAUAUUUCAUCAACAAAUUUAAUCAGGAAAUCAACAUCCCUCAACCCCAAAGUCAAAGAAACACCAGCGACCUCUUACCCUCUAAAGUCAAACCUCUCACUUCAAAAUAAAAUAAAAACCCUUACUUCUGCCUCCUGGAGACAAGUUUGAAGAUCCCAAAUUUCAUUUUGUAAUUUAACUGAGAAACCAUUUCAAGCUCAAUCAUAAAUUAAAAAAAAAUUUUAAUUUACUUAAUAAUCCCAUAUUCUCUUUUUAAGAAGAUUUCAGGUAGAAUCUAUACUAAACCAACAGUAAAUCAUGCUAAAAAUCUCAUCUUUUUUUAAUUAAAUGACUAACCCAAAAAUCCCAAAUAUCAUCUAAAUACUCGGUAAACAUCAAAAAAUCUCAAUACUUGUACAAUACCCACAAUCAAAAGCUAAAAGAUUAGAACAAAUAAAAAGAAAAAACACAAGAUUUAGCAUCUGUAUAUGAGAAAAAAAUAGCAACACUUCCCAGAAAAAAGAAGAGAAGAGAAGAAAGUCUCACAGAUUCAAGAUUACUUUGAGUCAGAUGCAGGUUGGUUCAUCUUGAGUUGGG
rnacentral:misc_RNA from 1 species